ensembl:misc_RNA
UGGUCUCAGUGCCUCACCCCCAGAUCUGCAUCGGAAUGUAGAAAAGAUCUUUUUUUUUUUUUAAAGAAAAAAAGUUUUGAAUUCCUCAAUGAUUUUUCUUCUGGAAAGGCAGCUUAGGAUAAUUAUUUCAGCUUUAUUGAGGGCAGAUUAGUUGAAGUCUGGACGCUGCGUUUUCAAUACACGUUGUACACGGGCCGACAAUGUGG